rnacentral:lncRNA from 1 species
AAUUGCGAGGCAAAGAGGAUCUAUUUAUGCUACAACAUGUUUACAGAAAGGCUUAACUUUUGUCGGAACAGUGAAGCAAAAGUGAAAAAAAAAACAUGGGUUUUCGAAAGGAGUGUGAUGCGAUUCCAAACACGUUGCGUCCUGAACAAAACAUAAUGUUCUUUCAUAACAACCCCGAAAUGAAAGACUUGAAGCCAAAGCCCCAGUGAUCUUGAGAUGUAACUGCGAAAGAAGCUUGGAAUGAAGUGACUUCACUUGCAAAAAAGAAUGGGAUUGUCGGAGACGUCCUUGACAAUAUUCUUUGGUUCAAAAUGUAUUGUCAGGAUUAUUCCAGCAACAUCGAAGUUGUUACGACCAACCAUUAGUCAGUAUUCAAUCCAUACCUGGACAAUACUCAUUGCAACAUAUUUACUAUCCUAAAACAGCAGUCGAUACUUUCUUCGUACCCCAGAAAAGCAUGUCGGAACUUCGCCGCUGAAGACGCAGCUGGUGCACACGUUUCUGUUCAGUGCUGGACUGUAACAAUUCAUAAUUAGGGGCAAUAGUACAUCAUGACAUCAGUAGCGUAGCGCUUGCACGACAAGAGUUAGAAGCUGGGCCUGACGAUCUCAGGAAUCCAAAAGUGAGGAGAAACCCUAACCCGGGAACUCCAAGACGGGAUAGUUUUACCCUUUUAGGAAAGAGUCUACCAACCCCAGUUUUUGCCCGGUUCGGACAAUCCGUCCAGUCCUCUUUGCGUUCUGUUUCGUGUGGUUAGGGAUUUUGGCUA